UCGCUCUGGUGCGUUGGGGGAGUUUGGAGGGAAGGUGACGCAGCAGGGGUGUGGAUCGCCGUGGGAAGGCGUCCCGGGAAGGAGUCUGU
rnacentral:SRP_RNA from 1 species